CUUCCCGCUCCUCCCCUCGUCACCGCUUCUUCUCUCCUCUCUUCUACACCGCAGGCGAAGAACUCAAGAACUUGAGCUUUUUCCGGCAGCCGAUUCCCUCGCCUCCUUUUCUUCCAGUUCCCGAGCAGAGAAAGGAUAUAUUAUUAUUUCGAAACCCUAAUUUUGGCCGUCUUCGUCGAAGCUCCGGUGGUCUUGGCUUGCCGUCUCCGUCGCAGAUUAGAAGGCAUGGAUCUAUGAGGUGACUCCAUUGGACGACGCUAGCCUUUUGAUUAUGAUUACUAGUACACAAUUAUGCUGUAUCGUGAUCCUGUAAUUGCUUGGUCAAACCAAGGCCUCAAGCUUUUUAAACAGGACUGGUUAUCAGUUUGGAAAUAUUUUGUUCCACAUAGAGAUCCCUCCUUGCUACCACGGCAGUGGCGAAUUGCUACUGGAACACAGAAAUCUUACAGAAAGAGUGAAGCCAUAAAGGAGAAGACGAGAUUAUAUGAAGCAAAACGAAGAAGACUGAAGGCUUCAAUGGCUGAUGGGCACACAUUAUCUGAGAAGGAGCUCAAUUUUGCUUACUUCUAUAAGAUUAAGAAAAUUUGAUUUCUUGGAGUAUUAUUUCAUUGUAUUCAUUGGCUGCAUGAUUUUAUAGGUUGAUAAUGAAGAGGAUAAUAGUGGAGAGGAAAUGGACAAUGAAAAUGAAGCUUACGUUCAUGAAGCAUUCCUUGCAGACUCCGAAACAGGGAGCUCCAAUGACUUAUCCUAUGAUAUUUCUCUUUCAGGCAUUGGAUGCUUUCAAGUGCAGAGUGACAGAGCAGUGCAUCCUUUAUCUCAUUGUUCUGACCCCAGAUAUACUUCAUCUUACACUUCACAGUUGAAUCAUCUUUCUUCCAUUUCCAACUUCGGGAGACCUGGAAGUCAUUUACGGUCAUUACCUGCCCAACACGUAAAUGUAAAGGUGCACGAGUGGUCAAGUUGGCACCUGGCUUGCCUCCUAUAAACCUUCCCCCUUCUGUUCGUGUCAUAUCUCAGUCAGCUCUCCAAAAUCAUCCUACCGGAUCAGCACAUUCUUACACAAGUAAGAAUGGAGUUAAAAAUCCAUCCAAGUCUUCUGGUGUGGCAAAGGGAGUAAAUACUGUAACAAAUCCUGGCAAAAAUUUAAACAUGCCAUCAGAUAAUGGUCUAGAAGCUAGUCACUGGCGAGUUGGUGGAGCUACUUCAGAUCAGCAUGUGGCAGAAGAAAAUGCUUCACAAUCAGAUCUCCAGAUACACCGAUUGCCGUUCCAUGCAUCUGAAGAUCAACUUUCAUCAUAUUAUUCUAUGAACAGACAUACUGCUGCUUCUGGUACUUGUCACCUGGGGGCUCAACUUCAAAAAGAAUCCACUUUUUCCAAAUCUCAACAUUUUAUUACUAUGAAAGACAGGAUCAGUGGAAGUUGAAAUUCAGUAGAUGCACCAUUAGAUUUGUUCAGUUGACUUCCAUCCACUUCUGCGAAGAACUGACAAUGCAACUGCUGAUCAUGGCAUGGUGUCUUCAGUUGAUCCUGGUUGUUUUGCAGCAUCAAGUCAUCAUAAUAAAUUGUCCCAUGAUUCUAAUCCAGUCUCAAGAGAAAAUCUGGUUGGUAAUAGCCAAAUUCCAGCUGGUGGAGCAUCCCUUUGCCAUCAUGAGAAGGAAAAUGAACUUGAUUUGGACAUACACUUGUAUUCAGUGACAGAAAAUGAAAAGACAAGACAAGCUGGAGAUUCAAGUAUGCAUCAGUUCAACAAGUCGGGCAGCCCAAGGUUUCAGCCAAGCAUGGGUAAAGGCAUAGAUGCUGAUAUGUCAUUCCACCAUAAUGCAAAUUGUUCUGAAUCUGCAGUACAAUAGGAUGCUGUGAAAAGGAUGACAAUUCCUUGGAAGUUGUGCAGAUGCCCAAUGAUUGUCUUAGCCAAUGCUCAAAAGAUUAUGAUGAAUCUAAUCUAGAUAUCAUAAUGGAACAAGAAGAAUUGAGUGACUCUGAUGACGAAAGUGCAAAUGCAGAGUUUGAAUGUGAGGAGAUUGAUGACUCGGAAGAGGAUGAAUCAGAAUAUGGACAAUCGACAGAAGCUCUAAUCAAGGAGGUUCCCACCGCUGCCGUAGUGAGGAAAAGUAAUCAAGAUAGUUGCAACUUCAAUCAUUCACGUCAGUCAAUGCCAAUCAGACAAGGGUCAGUCGACGAGGUGAUAAACCCGAUCUAGCCUAGGGCAGUCAUGCCAAAAUCUGUGCCAUACUUUGCGGCUAAAACCCAAACAUGAAGAUGCAAAAAGGGACAUCUCUUCUAAAAGUUCUCAACAGGUAGUUCACUCUCUUCCUGGACAAUUUGGCAAAGCUAGAAAUCCAAGGAGUUUGAAAGUGCGAGCCACUGGGAGCAACACCGCAUGCCAUUAAUCCUGAUAAUGAAUGCAGCAAGAUUGUUGCUCCGAGAAAACCUAGAAAGCGUUGUGUAAAUAGUUCUCUGUGAUCCCCAUUAUGUGUCAGUUUCCUCGCAACACAACAGUUCUCUGUGAUCCCUAUCGUGUGUCAUUUUCCUCACUGCUCAGAGACUCCGUGACAUGGUGAUCAUGUGAAGGUUCUUUUCUCUGUUUGCCCAGUCGGAAGCUUCCACUCUGAAUUUGAGACUGAAGCAGGAUUACUGGGUUAGCAUUAACCAGAAUCGAAUAGUUGGUUGACUCAGCAUCUUCGCCCGAUAAGUAAUAUCGAUCAUUUGCCAAUAAUAGAUCAUAUAUGUCAAGGCUGGCAGUUUUUUAUUGUCGCCGUUCUGUGAUCGUCGGCAAGUUGACAUCUGCUGGCCUUACCUGCCAGAAUGUUGUGGAACUCACUUUGUCUGUACUCUGAGCCUAGAAACCAUCGUACCCAUCUGAUCAUGCCGGCCGACGACAGGUUGUAGAUGAAGCAUCAGCUUCACCACAAACUUUCGGCAUCUCUUAGGACUUCCACGGCCACGACACGAAACCUUGUCCUCCGCUCGAGUUGACUGGUGUCCCUCUAUUCUCCGACAACAAUGCCGCCGUAGUCCGUGCGGAACCCAAUAAGUCAUGCGUUGGGGUCAGCUCUGCGACGGUGUCCUUGUCCUGAGGUGUCCCCGUCGCUGCUUUGCAUUGCAUUGCAUUCUCCAUGGAAUUCCCAGCCGACACGGCUUUGCGAAGCGUUCUCGUCGGUGCAUUGGAUCGUAGUUUUGGUGUGCAACGUGUUUCUAGUGUUCUUCCCGACGGGGCAUUCUUUGUUCCGACGUCAGCAACGUGCUUUUAGAGUAAAGUUCUUAUUUUUCCUCAUUAUAUUUUAAUAUAAAUUUUUUCUAUUAAAAGAAAUUUUCA